GGGGGUAUAGCUCAGCUGGGAGAGCACCUGCUUUGCAAGCAGGGGGUCAUCGGUUCGAUCCCGAUUAUCUCCACCA
rnacentral:tRNA from 2 species